UUUGGGAGAUGAUGAAAGAUAUGAAUGAUUUCAGAGGCUGUUUCCCAAGAGAAGCAGCAGUUCCGUGCCGAAUCAUUUGCACGUCAGUCUGAUCCCAAA
rfam:Musa acuminata subsp. malaccensis Doubled-haploid Pahang (DH-Pahang) genomic chromosome, chr11